GCAGACUCACUCUGCACCUGGCUGCAACCCCAGACAGGUGCUUUUUCUGUCUGCCAAAGAAAUAUUCCAGGGUGCUGUGACCGCUCUGACCUGUUGGGCAAUGCAGCUGCCUUGGGACACAGCA
ensembl:snoRNA predicted gene, 25777